GAUGAAGAACGCAGCGAAAUGCGAUACGUAAUGUGAAUUGCAGAAUUCAGUGAAUCAUCGAAUCUUUGAACGCAUAUUGCGCUCUCUGGUAUUCCGGAGAGCAUGCUUGUUUGAGUAUCAGUAAACACCUCAACUUCCAUAUCUUUUUUGAAAUGGGAGUUGGACUUGAGUGAUCCCAACGCUUUUCCUCACCGAAAAGUGGCGGGUUACUUGAAAUGCAGGUGCAGCUGGACUUUUCUCUGAGCUAUAAGCAUAUCUAUUUAGUCUGCCUAAAAAACAGAUUAUUACCUUUGCUGCAGCUAACAUAAAGGAGAUUAGUUCUUGUGCUGACUGAUGCAGGAUUCACAAAGACAGGCUUCGGCCGACUUUGUAAACUCGAUCUCAAAUCAAGUAAGACUACCCGCUGAACUUAAGCAUAUUAAUAAGCGGAGGA
rnacentral:misc_RNA from 1 species